rnacentral:piRNA from 1 species
UACAAGUGCUUGCUGGUUCACACCGGGU